UACAGAGGUCUCAAGCGUUGUUCGGAUUCAUUGGGCGUAAAGGGUGCGUAGGCGGCGCGGUAAGUCGGGUGUGAAAUCUCAGAGCUCAACUCUGAAACUGCACUCGAUACUGCUCUGCUUGAGGACUGGAGAGGAGAUUGGAAUUCACGGUGUAGCAGUGAAAUGCGUAGAUAUCGUGAGGAAGACCAGUGGCGAAGGCGGAUCUCUGGACAGUUCCUGACGCUGAGGCGCGAAGGCCAGGGGAGCAAACGGG
rnacentral:rRNA from 1 species